CACAUUAGUGACAAACUUACCUGCAGCUGGUACUACCAAAUCAUCUACACCUACCACAACUGAAGCUGCCACCAUCUCUAUACCAGCAGCCACUACAAGUACAGGUGGUGCCACAUCAAUCCCAGCAGUCAUCACAUAUGGAACUACAAUGACUUCUAGUCCCACAGACACCACAACUGUUGUUCCCAGUGUGCCCACACUUGUGGAUACAUCAACUGCACUUGAAACCACCUCCACUGCAGCAUGGGUUAUUUCCACAUCAGCAACCAACAUAACAGUGGCAAACAUCACUCAGCUGGCACUACAUCCAGACCAACAGACCCCAUGAUUAAAGUUCCCACCACCUCCAAAUCUGCAGUGAGCACAGUUGAAGUUCCUACCACAUCUGGUCCAGCAACCUCCAUGACUGAAGCUCCUACUUCAUAUACUUCAUUGCCUACCCCAAUGACAGUGUUGCAGGGCACUAAGGCGCCUGCUCCUCUUAGAGCAGAGAUUGCCCGGGGAGAGAGCACAAAGAGCCAGAUAAGAACCCAGGUGCAGGUUGCCAUGACAACCGGUUAAUGAGGGAAUUGGUCGCACCUGCACCUGGUCAGCUGGCUGGAGGAGGCAGGUCCCUAGGCCCAUAUAAACCCCAGGGCUGGGACCCGGCAGUUGGUUCCUUACCAGCAGCCGAAGGGGAAGGAGCCUCCAGGAAGGAAGGAUGGCCCCAGAGAUGUGGUAGCAAACAGAUGCACUACCCUUAAAACAAAGGGGACACCAGGAGCCCAUAAGGUAUCCUUGCCUACUAGGCACUGAGCCUCAGAGAGGGAGUUUUACUCUUUUAAAGAGGCAGAGCAUGAUGGGAGUUUUGCAUUACAUUACAGCCCAGGGACUCAUGGUGGUUGGCUGUUGUUUGUGUGCUGUCUGAUAACACUGGUGGUUUGGGUCAGGCUAUUUGGGGAAGGAGGAGGCCUCAUUGGGGGGCCCACUGCAGUGUGGGGAACCCUGGCACCAGAGAGGGUGCAGCAUUUGGGGGGCACAGACCCUGGCACCAGAGAGGGCACAGACCACGGCGCCGAGGGGCUCAACGACAAGGGCUGAGGCGAGCCCAGCGAAGACAAGGGGUCAAAUUAUAAUGAGGCCUCAGCAGGACAAUGCCAGUAUCAUCUGUGAGGCUUGGGGCGUGGUAAAGGGGUGGUUGGAGCCACGCAUAUAGCCCAUAAGGCUGAGACGCCUUAACCAAUAACACCAGCCGAUCCACACAUUGAGAGAAUUGAAGCUGGCGCCCCUCUUGACUGAACAUUGCUUUGAAGAAGCCUGCAACUGACCACCACAGUAUCCAAAGACACCAACUGGGGAGAACCCACACAGCUAUCUACGUUGUGAACAGAAGACAUGGGGAGAUUGGCUCUGCCACAGAGUUGGAGUGUGCCAGGAGGAGUGAUAGGACAAGGAGAGUGGGCAAAAGGGGGAUACAUGGGCUGUGAGCAAGGAGGGCCAAGAAAACCUGCUGACAUAGUCCUGUAUGAGCAGUCAGUCUUCUUUGAUUGGUCCACAACAACUGUAUUGUUCCAAUUACAAGAUGAUAAUUUCAAAGCUGCCUCAAAAUACAAAGGAGUGGGGAGUCACCAGGGUCUCUAUCACUGACAGGGGUGUGGGUUAAGAGGAAUGGGCAUUCUGGGCCUAAGCUAGUAUCUUCCUUGCCAUUGCAGGGCAGGCUAUUGGCGGGGGGCUCUAGGGGAUCUUGGUUUUGUGUCUAGGAUGUGCUCAGUGACUGUGAGGGCUGGAAUGGGUUGACUUUUAGGAAUCUUUCUGUUAAUGAACACAGGGGCCUGGACUAUGACCUGGGAGGCCUCAUCCAGACCUGUGCUCCUAUCUAACUACUCUGGAUAUUAAAAUGAGGGACUGAGCAUUAAAAUAAAUGAGUGUUAAGUAU